AUCCAAAUGACGAGUACGAAAUAAGAUGAAACGCGCGUCCUGGAU
rnacentral:hammerhead_ribozyme from 1 species